GAACCGCWUWGAGGCAAACGGAGAGGACCGCAAAGUCCGUUCGUCGGAUUCAAUCUGUCGGCGUUGCGGCUCGGGCGUUUUCGCAUCCGCAAGGGGCGAUGCGUUCGUGUUCGUGAAGUCGGCGGGUGCACUUUCGGCGGACGGAGCGCCACGACCGGUUCGUCGGCGGUCAGAAGCUCCCGGGGAAGGUGACCGGUUCCGCAAGGUUUCGGUGUUAUAGACCCGGGCGGCGUUGGCCCGUCGGCGGACCGAGGAAGACUGCUAACGCGGCCGGUCUCGUUACCGUGGCUCCGGGCGUCCGUUCGAUCUGUGGGGACUGUCGUCAGUGUCCGCUAACCGCGGGCGUUCGGUGGUUGCGAGUGGCGGGGCCGGCUUGGGGUCGGUGGCGAAUCGGUCGGUUACCUGUCCGACCCGUCUUGAAACACGGACCAAGGAGUCUAACAUGUGCGCGAGUCAUUGGGUGUUACGAAACCUAGAGGCGCAGUGAAAGCAAAGGUCGAUCCUUGUGGUCGACUUGGGUAGGAUCCUCCGUCGUCGGUGGCGGGGGCGCACUACCGGCCCGUCUCGUCCACAUCGUUGGUGAGGUGGAGCAAGAGCGUACACGUUGGGACCCGAAAGAUGGUGAACUAUGCCCGAGUAGGACGAAGCCAGAGGAAACUCUGGUGGAGGUCCGCAGCGAUUCUGACGUGCAAAUCGAUCGUCAAACUUGGGUAUAGGGGCGAAAGACUAAUCGAACCAUCUAGUAGCUGGUUCCUUCCGA
rnacentral:rRNA from 1 species